CUCAUCAUGAAAUUUAAGUUGAAUUGGAUUUUCUUUCUGGCCAUUUUCCAAGGUGUCCGAUGUGAUGUUCAGUUGAUGGAGUCUGGGGGAGAUGUGAGACAACCUGGGGGUACCCUGCGUCUCUCUUGUAAAGCCUCUGGAUUUACCUUUAGCAGCUAUUGGAUGGAUUGGGUCCGCCAGGCUCCAGGAAAGGGACUAGAAUGGAUUGCAAGAAUUAGUACUGGUGGAAGUAGCACAUACUAUUCAGACUCUGUCAAAGGCCGAUUCACCAUCUCCAGAGAAGACAGCAGCAACAUGUUAUAUUUACAGAUGAAUUCCCUUAAAACAGAGGAUACAGCUUUGUACUAUUGUGCAAGAGACACAGUGAGGGAAAGAAGUGUGAGACCAGACAGAAACUUCCCCUUCCAGGAACUGAGAAGCCCUUGA